AUUGAACGCUGGCGGCAUGCUUUACACAUGCAAGUCGAACGGCAGCACGGACUUCGGUCUGGUGGCGAGUGGCGAACGGGUGAGUAAUACAUCGGAACGUACCCAGUAAUGGGGGAUAACUAGUCGAAAGAUUAGCUAAUACCGCAUACGCCCUACGGGGGAAAGAGGGGGAUCGCAAGACCUCUUGUUAUUGGAGCGGCCGAUGGCUGAUUAGCUAGUUGGUGGGGUAAAGGCCUACCAAGGCGACGAUCAGUAGCGGGUCUUAGAGGACGAUCCGCCACACUGGAACUGAGACACGGUCCAGACUCCUACGGGAGGCAGCAGUGGGGAAUCUUGGACAAUGGGCGAAAGCCUGAUCCAGCAAUGCCGCGUGCGUGAAGAAGGCCUUCGGGUUGUAAAGCGCUUUUGCCUGGGAGCAAAUCCUUGUGGCUAAUACCCACCGGGGAUGAGAGUACCAGAAGAAUAAGGACCGGCUAACUACGUGCCAGCCGCCGCCGUAACAC
rnacentral:rRNA from 1 species